AUUGAACGCUGGCGGCAGGCUUAACACAUGCAAGUCGAGCGGGGUGAUGGUGCUUGCACUAUCACUUAGCGGCGGACGGGUGAGUAAUGCUUAGGAAUCUGCCUAUUAGUGGGGGACAACAUCUCGAAAGGGAUGCUAAUACCGCAUACGUCCUACGGGAGAAAGCAGGGGAUCACUUGUGACCUUGCGCUAAUAGAUGAGCCUAAGUCGGAUUAGCUAGUUGGUGGGGUAAAGGCCUACCAAGGCGACGAUUUGUAGCGGGUCUGAGAGGAUGAUCCGCCACCCGGGGACUGAGACACGGCCCAGACUCCUAGGGGAGGCAGAAGUGGGGAAUGUUGGACAAUGGGGGGAACCCUGAUCCAGCCAUGCCGCGUGUGUGAAGAAGGCCUUAUGGUUGUAAAGCACUUUAAGCGAGGAGGAGGCUCUUUUGGUUAAUACCAAAGAUGAGUGGACGUUACUCGCAGAAUAAGCACCGGCAAACUCUGUGCCAGCAGCCGCGGUAA
rnacentral:rRNA from 1 species